rnacentral:rRNA from 1 species
GAUGAACGCUGGCGGCGUGCCUAAUACAUGCAAGUCGAGCGAACAGAUGAGGAGCUUGCUCCUCUGACGUUAGCGGCGGACGGGUGAGUAACACGUGGAUAACCUACCUAUAAGACUGGGAUAACUUCGGGAAACCGGAGCUAAUACCGGAUAAUAUAUUGAACCGCAUGGUUCAAUAGUGAAAGACGGUUUUGCUGUCACUUAUAGAUGGAUCCGCGCCGCAUUAGCUAGUUGGUAAGGUAACGGCUUACCAAGGCAACGAUGCGUAGCCGACCUGAGAGGGUGAACGGCCACACGGGAACUGAGACUCAGUCCAGACUCCGACGGGGAGCAGCAGUAGAGAAUCUUCCGCAAUGGGCGAAAGCCUGACGGAGCAACGCCGCGUGAGGGAUGAAGGUGUUCGGAUGGUAAAACUCUGUUAUUAGGGAAGAACAAAUGUGUAAGUAACUGUGCACGUCUUGACGGUACCUAAUCAGAAAGCCACGGCUAACUACGUG